UUUAAAAGAAAAUAUCAUUUGAAGCAAAAUAAUAAGAAAAACUAAAAAGCAGAACAAACAAAACCAAAAAGAACAAACAAAAACAAAAAGUAGAGUAUUUAAGCUCUACUCCACCUAAUAACAUCACAACUGGGUUUCCCUUCACGUCCUAACUCUUUAUACCACUUCUGCUGACAUUUCUUAUGAAAUUUGUCUCAGAUAUUUUCCAUUUUUUUCCCUUUUGUGAAUAGAGUUAUGAAAAUAAAUAUUCUAAAAAGUUAUUGCUGUGCUACUUUAAAAUUAUUAAUUUUGUGUGUUGACUUUAUAUGUAGUCAACUUGUUUAACUCACAUUUGGUUCUUGUGGGUUUUUCUGAUAGAUGGUUAUAUUGACUGCAAAUACUAACAGUUUUGUCUCUUUCUCUUCAGAGUUACAUUUCUUAUUUUCUUCUCUUGUCUUUAUGUAAGCUUUCAGGGCAAUAUUGAAAAGUAAUAGUGAUUAUAGACAUCUUUGCCUGGCUGCUGAUUUUAAAAGGAUUGUUUCUGAUAUUUUACCAUUAACUAUGAUGUAUACCGUGGGUCUAUGGUAUAAAAACAUUACAAAUUGAAUUUGUUAGUUUUAAUCAGAAAUUGUUGUUAAAUUAUAUUAAAUUUUAGCAUCAGUUGACAGUAUCUAUUGAGAUGAUUUUACUCUAGUGAGGAACAUCAGUUGCUUUCUAAUGUUGGACUAUUCUUACAUUUUUUGCUCCUAAUACCUUACUAGUUUAGACUUUCUAAUACUUUAGAUAGAAUUUUUGUAUCUUUGCUCAUAAAUAAUACUGGCUUGUUCCUUUCAUUCACGUUUUCUCCGCCCACUGUUGGUAUUUGGUUAUGGUAGCUGCAUGGAAUGAGUUAGAGUAGCUUUAAUCUUCUUCCAUGCCCUGCAUAGUAUAUCACAUGGGAUUAUGGAUUUUUUGAAUGUUUGCUAGAACUUGACCAUAAAGUUUCUCACUUUGGUGUACUUUAGUGGGGGUAGAUCUUAAAUUACUAUUUCAAUUUUUUAUACGAUUAUUGGUCUUCCAUGAUUUUCUUCUUGAACCAAUUUUUGUGAUUUAUUAUUUAUUGUGAUUUAUUGUUUCCCAGGAAAUUAUUCAUUCAUUUAGAUUUUAAAAUAUUUUGGUCUAAAUUCUCUUUAAUUUAAAAUGUGCUUUGUAUGUUAUGUCUCUAUUAUGUCUUAAUGUUGUUGAUUUUUGUGACCAUUACUCACUCUAUUCUCACUCUCAGUCUUGCCACAGGCUAUUCUAAUUCAUUGAUAUUUUCAAAGAAACAGUUUUUAGUUUUAUUGAUCUAUACUAUUGAUUUUUUUGUGUUCUAGUUAAUUUUUGCAUUUUAUCUUUAUUAAUAUCUACCUCUUAAUUUCAUUGAGCUUAUUUUGUUUUUCUCUUUCUAACUUCUUGAAUUAAAGAGCUUAUUGACUUUGCUUUCAAUUUUUUCCUCAUUUCUAAGAACUUUAUUUGAGACUAUACAUUUUCAUGAGUUAGGUAUAUAUCUCAGGUUUUUGAUAUAUGGCCUCUCCUUGUUAUUCAUUUCUAAAUAGUAAUAUUUUUUUCUUUGCUAACCUAAGAGUUAUUUUAAAAGUAUUUAGCAUGUUCAGGUGCAUAGAAUUGUUUGGCCAUUUUUUUGUUAUUAAUUUCUAAUUUUAUUACAUUUUGUCCCAGAAGGUAACCUGUCUGACUUCUUUCUAAUGAAGUUUGUUGAGAUUUCGUUUGUGGCCUACUACAUGAGUAAUUUUUUUUUUAAUGUUCCAUGUGUGACUGAAAAUAAUGAAGUCUCCUUUUCUUAACAUCUAUGUCUAUUAGAUCACACUGUAAAAUUAUAAUAUGUAUGUUCUUCAAAUUCUCUCUAACUGUCCCUGAUCCACAGCUACUUGAUCAGGUGAUUUCUGAGAGGUGAAUAACGAGGUCUCUUACCAUGAUUGUAGAUUAACACUUUCUCCUUGUAUAUCCUUCAGUUUUUGCUUUCUGUAUUGAAGCUAAGUUACUGGGUGCAUAAAAGAUCAUAGCUGAGAUAUCUUCUCUAUUGAUGUUAUAUUUUAUCAACAUGGAUACUCCAUCCCCCUACUUCCUUUCAUUGUUCUUUUCCUUGAACUCUAUUUUGUUUGAUAUUAUUACAAAUUGGCUUUCCUUUUCUUAGAAUUCGCACGACAUAGCUAUUUCCAUUAUUUUAACCUCUCUGUCUCAUUUUGCUUUAGGUGUAUCUUACAAGCAUCACGUAUCUGGAUGUUAGUUUCUAAAUCUAAGAUUUUCCACUUAAAUGACUUUUCAUUUCAUUUUUUUCUUCUAUAAUUGUUUGAAAUUAUUCAUCCUAUUUUUUAUCACUAACCCAUAGAUUGAUGCAUUGAUGCAUUUUAAGAGACAUAUUGAUAUUUAGAGUCAAUCACUUCCUAGAUCCUCCCAGCAAAAGAUAUUAAAAACUUUUCUUUCUUUUUAGCUUACUUUCUCCUAUUACUCUCUUUCUUCUCCAGCCUCCAGAACUGUGAGGACAUAAAUUUCCAUUGUUUAAACUCCCCAGUCUGUGGUAUUUGGCCGUGGCAGCCAAAGUUGAUUAAUCUGUUUUGUUUGUUGGAAGAAUUUUCUCUUCUUCCUUGUAAAUUUUUCUUAAAAAGCUUAAGUGUGGGUCUUUUUAUUUUACUUACUCAGCAGUCGAUAGAUCCAUUCAAUCUAAUGACUACUAUCUUUUGUUUUCAAUCUAAAGACUUCCAUCUUUUUUUUUUCUCUGCCUCUUAAUUAUUUCUUCUCCUUCACUCUUAUUUGCAAUUUCUGGAAUUCCUAUUAAAUGGAUUAUCAUGCUGUUGAAUUCAUUCUCCAUUUCUCUUUUCUCUUUACUUUUUUCUUAACUUCCAUGUGUGUUUCCUUCUGUGUUCUCUUUCUGGGAAAAGUCCUUGGUUGAGUUUUCCAGCUUAGUCAUUUUCUCUUGGUUUUUUAUCUAUUCUGCUAUUCAGCUCAUAUAUUGAUUUUUUAAAAUUUCAAUACUCAAGUUUGUAAUUUCCAAGGUCUUCAUCUGAUAAUUUUGUAUGUGUGCUACAUUCCCUUGCAUGAGAAUACUGAUUAGACUUUUAUAAAGUAUUUUCUUAUUGAUUCUAUUAAUUCUUUCCAUGGGAAUUUAGUUCUUCAGUUUGUUAAAUUUAGUUCUUCAUGUCCAAUUUAGUUCUUCAGAUGGUUAAAUUUAGGACUUUUCUUUCAUGAGGUUGAUUUUCUUCAGAACCCCAAGCAAUCAUCCUAUCAGUCAUCCUUGGGUACUCCUGCUGCCUUGGAUGCUGGUACUCCUUCAUUUCCUGUAGCAGGUCUCUUCUUUGUGCUCUUGGGAUGUGGUUUCCUUCUUUAGUCUUCUCCAUCUGCCUUUCCCUUUCAGUCAUUCCUAACUUUUUAAUCACUGGGGGUACCCUUUCUUUUUUUCCUGCACUGUUAUGGAUUUUUAUUAUUGUAUGUUGUUACAUUCUUACUUAUAUGCUGUACUGAUUAUAUGAUAUUUUAUUUAUAUUAUUGUUAUCAUCAAUGUUUAUUAUUAUUAUUUCUUUUUUUCUAGGAGUUUAGGAUAAGAAGGGGAAUGUGGAGAUUGUGCCUGGUUCACUAUUUUUAUCCAACCUCCUCAACUUUGUAUGUAUUGAAGAUUGAUGUUUUAAACCACAGUUCCAAAGAUGAGAGUGAGUGGUUUGACUAGAAGUUACCAGGGUUGGGUCUGCCCUUUGAGCCUGGCCAACAGCUGCACUUGCAAUCCAUGGUUCCAUUGGUGGCAUCCUUCCACCGGGAAUUCCAUUUGUGUUUAUUUUCAUUGUCAAGAUAUUCUUAUCUUGCCUCAUCUCUGACUGGAAAGCUUGUGAACUCAGAUGGGUUUGCCAUUUGCUGACCAGCCAUGAAUUAUUAGUGCAGGAGAAGAGAUGGUCAUAACAAACUCAGCCUGCUUCUUCAUGUCUGGCAUGAGGGGAUGUGUUCGGCAUUGUGAUGUGCCACCUAGAUCUGCUUUUAGGAAUGAAGGACAUAUUUCCCCAGCUGCUGGCAGUGGUACAGCUCACAGCUCUCUGCCCUUUGGGGAUUGCCUCAGAUAAAAGAAUGGCUUUGCCCCCGGUGGCCAGCAGCCCACUUUCUCAGCCUUCUGCCCCAACUCAGGCAGUUCUGAAGGAUCACCUCAUCUUCAGAACUCCCCAUGCUUCUCUGACACCGCAUUGCAGCUCACUAUCUCCCUCUUUCCAAUCUGCCUCCUCCCCUUUAUUCCACUGGCAGUGACCCCAAGAUCAACUCCCUAAUAAACCUCAUGCCUGCUAAACUUCAUCUUAGGGUCUGCUUCCUGUGGAUCCUAACCUAUGAUCAAGCAUUUACUGAAAAUUACUACAUGUAUCAGAGCAAAGCACCAUUGUGGCUAUAUUUGGCUACAGAAACUCUUAAACCUGCCCUGGGAUUGGGGAAAGGAGCUGCAUAUGGCCAGCCAGAAAGUAUGGGGAGGCAACAGCCCCUUACACAUGCAUUUUGAUUUGCCCACCCAAAUCUGCUCCUUCUGCAACAGUCCCCAACUCAGAAAAUGGCAAUUACAUCUAUUCAGUCAGUCAAGACAAAAAUCUUGGAGUCAUUUCUGACCUCAAACUCUAACACCACAUUAAUCUAAUUCAUCAGAGAAUGGGCUCAGCUUUACCAUCCAAAUUGAUCCUAAAUCUGACCCUUUCUCACCACCUGGAAUGCCAGCCCCUGGGUUCCAGCCACUAUCACCAUCCCUAACUUGGAUUACAGCAAUUGCCGCUGUGAAAGGAAAAUAAAAUCUUGAGACCCUCAACUCAACACGUCAAGGGAAAAGUUAAGCUUGGAGACCAAGUAACGCAAAAAACUUGCCUUUCCUUUUGUUCCUAAAUAGCUGCAAGAUAGAAGGCCACAUGUCUCCCCAGGGGGCCUCCCUUACCCUGACAAUGUAAAUUAACAGCUUAUCUUUAUGGUACAGGACAAGAGGAGACUAGAAAUUGUACCCCCUUUCCACCGCCUACCCCGAGAUGAAUUUAUAUUCGACUUCUUCCUGUACUCUGUGUUUACUUUAUCUUAUGUAAAGUGCAGAUUAACUGAGCGCGAGACGAAUACAUAAUUGACUGUUCCUCUGCCCCCUCCUUUUCACAUGCAACAUGUGGAUUCAGGGAGUGCUAAUCAAAGCCUCAGAAAAAUGUGACCGUAUCCUCCCUCUUUUUUUUCUCUCCUUUCCCUGCCUGCCUGUUUUUUUCCCUGUUAAAUAUUGAAGUCCUUAAAAUCAUCCCUGGAAAAAGUAUGAGCCACACAUCCUAUUGUGGUUUGUGUCUCUUUAUACCAGGCACGUCCUCAACCUGGGCAAAAUCAACCUCUAAAUUGAUAGACAUCACUUUUUCUUUCUCUUUUUUCUUUUUUUUUUUUUUUGGCUUUCAGUUUCCAAACUCUUAGCCCCUACAAUCUAUUCUCAACACAGCAGUCAAAAGGAUCUUUUAAAACCAAAGUCCAUUCUUGUGUCUCCUUGGCUCAGCACUCUCCAAUAUUUUCCAUCUCAUUUUAAUCAAAACUCCUAGCCCUUCCAUGGCUCCCAAGGCUCUUUAUGAUCUGGCCCUCCCCUGCUGUCCUCCUGACCUUUCCUACCACUACGUCCCCCUUGCUCACCCCAGUCCAUGCCAAGCUUGUUCCUGACCUACUUGAAGUUCUCCCUGCUGAAAACACCGAGAUAUCUUCAUGGCUCCUCCCCUCACUUCCUUUAACUUCCAUUUCAAAUAUCCUCUUGUCUGAGACCUUCCUUCACCACCCAAUCAAUGACAUUAACCUCCUCUCCCUACAACCCCAACUUUGGCACUAACCAUCGCCCUUGCCACGUUUAUUUUUUCUCAUAGCACUUAUCACCAUGCAAUGGAUUUCCUUGUUCAUCUAGUGUGUUCCUCCUCCAAGCAGAAUGGAAGCUUUAUGAAAGUGUUUUGUUCACUUUUUUGUUCCUAACAUCCAGAACAGUGCUUAGCACAGAGUGGGUGCUAAAUAAAUGUUUGUCAAAUAAAUGAAAUUUUAAUUUCCUGACUGUUUAGGAGAAUCUCAGAUGGGAAAAUUGCUUAGGCACAGAUAAUAUUCCUCAUUCUGCUUCUUACUUGCCUAAUGACCUUCCAUAAGCCCCUUUUCCUAUCAGGCUAUCAGGAAGCUGAGGGGGUGGGACAAGAUAGUCACUCAGUGUCUCUUCUCCAUCUGAUCUUUUGCUGAAAUUGUGAUUUGUUUGAUGCAAACAACCUGGUGUGACAUUACUGCAACCGUUUUUCUACUGCUUAAGUGAAUUCCAAAUGAAACCUAGCUCUAGCUUCCCCAGGAUCCCUCCCUGGUGUCAUUCCAACUGCAGGAUACUGUCCCCAAGUACUUGACUCUCUUUCUAUUUUAACCUUCCCAUGCCCCUCCUGUGUUCUGUGACUUGUUUUGGCCUCACAUUGGGCAGAUUGUAUGUCAUUACCCUUUGCUCUGGUCAAUGGGAUGUGAGCAGAUGUGAAGUCAGCAGCAGCUUGAAAUAGACUUGAGUGGUGAGCUUGCCCUCUUGGGCUUCUUCCAUCACAAUAAGAGAAACAUGUCUUGGCUAGCCUGGUGGUCCAAGAAGAACUGAGGGAUAUCUGGAGUACCUGGAUCAAACCGAAGGCCAGAGCCAAACUCAGCUGAGCCGAGGUGAGAUCAGCAGAGCUGCCCCAGUUAACCCACACAUGUAUGAGUGAGAAUAACUGAAUGCUGUAAGCACUGAGUACUGGGGUGCUUUGUUAUGUGGCAUUCUUACGGCAAUAGCUGACUGAUACACCAGUCUUCCAAAACUCAACCCAAGGUACAUACUCUUCCAGAAAACAUUCCCUAAGCCCAAGGGCAUGGCCUAACAGUGAGAAUUUCAGGUCUGUUUCAGGUUAGUGAGGUCAGCUGCUUGCAGGAACUGAGAGACUGCAGCAGAAAGAAGGAAAAAUGGGCAGCCAAUAUUGCUCAGUUGUGCCAUUUGAUGACUCUGCAAACAGGAAGAACAAGGAUCGAAAGGAUUUAUAGUACGAGCUGAUAGAAUGGAGCUGGGGCUGGCGUUGUGCCUUGCGGCUUCUUUCCCAUUUUUUUCACAAGGCUCCUCACCAGGACACAGGAGCUUGUAACCCUGUCCUUGGCCUGAAAAGUGGUUCCACCUACGACUUCUGGGUAUAUCAGACUGGGGCAACAGGGCACUGUUAUUCUGACAGUGAACAUUACACCUUUCCAAAUGGAUAUUGCAGAAAUUUAGAAUUGAGUCUUGUCAAAACAUCCUGAUUUGCAUAUUAGGAAAGUCAAGGGAGAAGUUACUUUAUCUUCUUUCUAACCUGAUGAAAAGAUUUUUAAGGAGACUUUACUGCAAUCAUGUUUCUAUUGCUUAAGUGAUUCCAAAUGCUACUGUAAAUUCCAUUCAUUAUUUAAAUAGCUUUAGCUCCCUUAAGAACCUAAGCGCCUUACAGGAAGGAAGGAGCUAUCAAAUCCAUGCAGGAUGGGGAAUUGCUCAGGAGGGUCAAAUCCUGGGGCAUAGGGAGAGGGACUGUAGUGUUCAUGAUGGGUUUCUAGGGAGGCAGAUCAAGAGCCCGACUGAGUGAUAGUAGGAGCUGGGAGAAUUGCUAAGAUCAUCUGGGCCUAGGAUGCUUUCCUAACUUUCCUGGUCCUAAGAAUUUUCUGAAUAACUUGUUAAAAAUAGAUCUGCAGACCUUUCCCCUGGAGAUUCUAUUUUAGCAGACCUAACGUGGAGUUCAAAAUUCCAUACUUUCAAGAAAGACCCCAGGUGAUUUUGACAACUAGACAUGCGUGGAAAAUACUGAUCUUUCAAGUUGCCUUGUGUACAGGUGAAUAAAUUGAGUCCCAAGGAGGGGUUAGUGCUAGAGGUUAGUGUUAGUCCCCAGUUAGUGCUAGAGCUAAAUGCAGGAUAGGAUCACUGAGACACGAACGGCAGGUUUAGGAUGCCUGAUUUGCAGCUGUGAGGCUGGGACUGGCAGUGUAGUCUGCAGGUUUGCUGGUCCCUUGGUACAUUUGUUUAGCUGCUCACUUUCUGUAAGAACAGCUGAAGGCAGCGCUCCUGGAGUCAGACAGACCAGGUUCAAAUUCUAACUUUGCUUCUGAUUCACUAAACAACCUUGUGCAAAUUGCUUAGUUUUUCCGAGCCAUUAAUAUGGGCAUUAAAUCAGAUAAUGUACCUACCCCUAAUAGGUACUCAAUAAAUGAUUAUUUUAUUUAUUAAAUAAAUAAGUGCUAGACCCCAUUCCAAGCCAAAGAACUGGCCAGUAUGAACUUAUUUAACAAAUAAAACAAGCCUAUUAUUAAUUCCAUUUUAAAAUGAACGAAAUUGAAGAAGAGAAAACUUGAGUGACUCGUUCAAAUCACGCAUAUAGCAAGUGAGAAGCAAAGGCGGAUUUGAACUUAUGUAGUCUGUAGCCCCCCUUCUUUCCCCUGAGGAUAGGGUCUGGGUCCCACUUACCCCAGCAUGGCCCCUGGUGCAGGCCUUUGCACACAAGUAGAUAUCAAUAAGUGCCUGAUUAAUGGGAUUGAGAUUUAAAGGCAGGACGAGAAAUUCACUUGACGCAUGGCUGAGGGUGGGAUAUUAGUAUGGGUUAUCUAGAGAGGGCAGUAGGAGGCCAUAAGUAGAGAAGCCUGUAUCAAGAGAAGAUGGGACAGAGCCUGCAGGACCAGUCCUUGGGAGUUAAAGGCUGUUUUCAGGCCUAACAAUUAGCAUUGAAAUGCGCAGGAGCCUGGAAGUUUUUUGCAUUGUCGCCUGCAAUAAGGAAAAAUCCAGACUGAACUGGCUGCUUGGAUCAGAAGUGAUGUAACGGGCUGGCUUUGGCCUAGUUUUCCUAAAGCAGGCGGCCCCCUGGCUCUCCCACACCCUUUUUUCCAGAAUUGGCAAGUGACAGCUACCGCCAUCUAGUGGUCUGAGUGGCACUGCACAGGGAUGGGGAAAAAAGGUUGGCUCGCAUCACAGGUACUAGAAGAUGCCCCUGGCUUCGCUCUCCCAAAAGAUGAGAGCCCCCAAUGGUGGUAGAGAGUUUAUUCUGUUCAAGGCGUAUUCUUACCUUUUACUUCAUUAGAUCUUCUCAACAACCCAGGAGGCAUUAGGGGCCAUUAACUCCAUUUUAUGGGUGAGGUGACAAGUCCCUGGAGGAGAGGGGUCUUGUUCAGAGUCGCAUUGUCAGCUAUUGAUGGAACUAGGACUGGGAUCCAAGCCUUCACAAUACAGUUUUUUAGCCCAUAAGUAAUACAGAGAGGUUGUCAGAUCCCUUGAAGUCUCCUUGGACAGGAAAUGGAAGACGAUUUAUCCUGGAGGUCUUGGUCACUUCUCUGCAUGGAGGUGAGUCCCCUUCAGCUCAAUGACUUGCGAUUUUUCUCUGGAAAGAGAAUCCUCAGGUGGGAUACCUGGGCUGAUAAUACUCAUAUGGGAGGUUUCAGAAGAAGAUGAAUACUGCCCCUCCAGCUCUAGACCCUCUUACUGGAUACUUAGUUAAAGCUUAUCUGGUCCAGGCCCCUUGUAUGAAAGAUGGGGAAACUGAGUCUCAGAGAGGCGGAAUGACUAGGCUGAUAUCACACUGUGGUUAAACCCUUCCUCUCCAGCCUGUCUUUCUAUUCUAGGUACUCUGGUAUAAUAGCUGGUGCCUGGAGCCUGCACUGUUUCGAACAGAUGUAACUGCUUUUGGUCCAGAGUGAAAAUUGGACUCUAAUGUCUCCCAAAUUAUACCACAAAGCUGAAUUUCACCAGGCAAAGUCUCAGGUGUGGAAUGCAACCAGAAGCAUGCCAUUUGCUGCGGGCAAUGGAAUGUGAGUGGAAGUCACAUGUCACUUCAGGAUGAAGGCCUUCAGGGAGUUGAUUGGCAACCUGGACCAGCAGCUGGAGUGGAAGAGAAGCCUGGUUGAAGAGGACUGGGGAAAGCAGGGAACAGGGAGGUGAUUGUGUUCCUGACUAGGCAGCAAGAGGUAUGUUCAAAUAAAUAUUGACUUUCCCUUUCAAUUCCACUAAAGCUGUGUUUACUUUCCUGUGUGGUUCUUGGUCUCUGGUGAUGGGAGGCAGGAAAAGAAAACAGAAGUUGGGGCUGAGUAGAGGGUGGUAUUAGGGAACUUAAUUGACAUAGCUGAAGUAAGUUUGAUGGCAGAGCCAGGGGGCUCAUGUGAUUUAAAUCCUAUCUGGGUUAAUUAGUUAAUGGAAUUGCUUUUGCAAAAUUGUGAUAAUAAGAUAAAUCUGACAUGGCUGAUUCCAUCUUGCUUCUAGCCUGACAGGCUGGCUGUCCACUCAUUCCUGCGCUUAGUCCAAGCUAACUUUGGGAAACAUUUAAUUUAUAGUAUAAAUGAUAAUAGGCCUUCCCCCAAACUCAACCACCUUUGUAAAGCUAAUGAAAGGUCACCAGGUUAAGAGGAUGUGAGGAGGCUGAAUUCUGCUAAGUUGUAGACAUAAACCAUUGCCAGUCAUUAUUCCAGAAGUCAGAAGAUAUGCAGCUUUCCCAAUUACUUCUGCAGAUAACAUCGCUGUCUUAGAUCCUAAGAUUGGCCAUUGGAGACGUCUUUUCAAGUUUUUGCAUUUCUGACUACCAGUGGCUCUACCUGGACCUGCCCUUACCCAACUGGUCCUGUGGCCCCCACCCAGAAGUAGAAUCCCUGGCUUGCCAAACAACCCUUGAAAAACCCUAGCCUCCGAGUUUUUUGAGAUUGAUUUGAGUAAUACUGCUGUCUGCCAUAUGGUGUGGCUGGUCUUGUGUCUAUUAAACUGUUUCUUUAUUGCAGUGCCACUGUCUGGUUUUGCCUGUGUGGUGGGCAAGAAGAACCCAUUGGACAGUGAUGUGAAGAUAGUUUCUUUGUAUUGUCUGAAUUAGAAAUCCAUCCUUCAGCCAUUCAACACUCUGCACGGGGACUCUGCCAGGCAGUGGUGAUCCAUCAUCAAGUCAGACAUCAUGCAAAGAAGAGACAAUCCAGGGUCUGGAGAGGGACAGACGAUUUCAUAAACAUUAUAGGACUUGUGAGUAGUCAAAGUGAAACAGAGGUACAUCCUGGCAUUAAGAGAGAGAGAGAAGGAGGGCCCAAGGUUGCCUGGAGGAGAUGGCUUCUAGCGGAGCUUAAAGACCUUGUUGUUAGCACAAUGAUCAGAUAUUCCAGGUCUCUUCCUGCCCUCCCCUCCACCUGCUAUUUCUCCUCCAACUCUUCCCUUCCAAGUUUCCCACUAAUGUCCAGCUUUUCUCCUCCCCAAACAUCUCUUCUUUCUCCUUCCAGUUAUCUCCUUUGCCCUUCCUCUUUCUUUUCUCCCUCCUCCCUCUCCACCGCCCUCCACUGCUCUUUUCUCCCCUUUCCCUCCUUUUCCUCCCCCUUCCCUGGCCCAGGAUGAAAGCCCUUCUGCAGCCUCCCAGCUGAUGAAUUAUGCAUGUCCUUCAGCGGGUGUGCCUGGCAUCCAAUUAAGGCCUUGGCCAGGGUGAUCACUUAGACAGAUUAAAAUGUAAUUCAUUGGAGUUGACAUUUAAGCCCCAGUGUGAAUGGCAAUGAGAAGAAGCAAAUGCUCUCCCGGUACCUGGUGUGUAUUUGGGGGUGGGUGAGGCUCGCAGCUACCUGCGCUUGCUUAACUAAUUCCAGCCUGGAGUAAUAUCAACACACACACUGGGCCUCUGAUGCACAAUGGGACUGGGGAAAGGUCCAAUGCAAGCUUUGAGCCAAAGGAAGCUUAAAAGAAAAAGAAAAAAAAAAAAAGAACUUUUUUUAUUUAGAACUAAUUUGAGAUUUACACAAGAGUAGUGAUAAUAGCACAGAGAGUUCCCAUAUGCCCGUCACCGAGUUUUCCCUAAUGUUAACAUCUUAUGUAACCAUGGCACAGGGGUCAAAACUAAGAAAUUAACGAGGGUACAAUACCAUUAACGAAACUGCUGAUGUUUUUCCGAUUUCACCCAGUUUCCCACUAGUGUCCUUUUUCUGUUCCAGGAUCCAGGCCAGGAUCCCACAUUCUAAAGCAGCCCUUUAGGAUUCUUCAGGGGCAGCAAUUCCUCCCUGCUCCCCAGACCAGCAAUUCUCAAACUUUAGAGUGCAGAGAGUUAUCAGGGAUUUUGUUUAAAGGGCAUGUCCUUCCCUAGACGUUCUGAUGCAGCAAGUCUUAGAUAGAACCCUAGCAUAUCCUUAGCAAGCAUCCCUAGCCAGACACAAGCUCCCAGAUAACUGGUUGAUUCCCGAUUUCUUUGUAAGUCAGGUGUCCACUUGUAGAUUUCCUUCAUCCCCUGGCUUAUCCUCAGGAAACAGCAGAAUUACCCCCACCCACCACCUACUACCAGACCCUGGAGAAACUGCUGGGCUAACACAACAUCCUGAUUUUGGAACCACUGGGUCAGACACUUCAUCUGCCAGGCCAACCCCCCUGGUUAAGUCCUUCUUGAAGAGGGGAGAAAGUGACAUUUACCUGCCAGUCACAGAUAUGUACAUAUUUUCAUUUAAUCCAAAGAGAUUAUCUGUAAGUAGAUACUAUUUCCCCCAUUUUAUAAUUGAGGAAACCGAACAAAAGUGAUAUUAAGGGUAGGGUUGCCAGAUUUUGCAAAUGAAAAUAUAGGAGGCCCCGUAAAAGUUGAACUUUAGAUAAUACAAUACUGGAGACAUACUGAUAUUUUCAAAUAUUGUCAUUUACUAGAAAUUCACACUUAACUGGACCUCCUGUAUCUUAGCUUGCAGCCCUGUUUAAAUGACAAGUCUGUGGCUGCAGAGCUAGUAAGUAGGUCCAGAUGUGGAUCUGACUCUGAUGUCUGCAGCACAGGGCACCCUGUGCUCGCCAGCUCAAUGCCUGCCUCACCUAGUGAGCUGCAGGCAACAUGACAUGGGAACUGUGUGGAUUUGUUUCCUGCUGUAUCUCCAAGGCCUGGCACCAUAUGGCAGUAGAUGCUUAAUAAAUAUUUGUUAAAUAAAUGAAUGACUAAAUGCAUUCAUGAAGGGACUCGAUACUCUCUUUGAACCAGGGAAGGCUGCAGAGUGAUAGUGAUUAAACAGAAAAGCUGAGUUGGUGAGGUUGAAACGGCCUUUGCAAAAUUGUAACUGAGGAAAUUAUAACAGUGAAAGAAAUCAGAUCUAACUGACUCCAUCUCGUUUCUAACCUUUAAGCUGUCCUUGUUCAUUGCUGGGCAUAGGCUGAACUAACUUUGGGAAGGGAUUCAGUUCAUGAUUUGACUUUGAAACAAAAUAGAUAAUAGCCCUUUCCUGAAAAGACCCUCUUCUUGCCUGGGGACCAGUCUGCCUUUGCAGGACUAACAAAUCAGCUACUGAUUAGAAAUUACAGUUUAGGGGUCAUGCAGCCUCUGGCUCCAAUAGUCUGAACUUCCCCACAUUUCUUCUGGGAAUAACGUCACUAUUGUGAAGCCUAAGAUCAGUGCUUGAGAGAUUUUGCAGCCCCUGCACUCCAUGGAUCAGCUGACACCACCGAGACCGGUA